ensembl:ncRNA F26D11.16 ncRNA
CGCAUAAGCGUACAGUAACACGGUUGGUAGACCGGCAUAGAAAAGACUGUUUGUGUGUGUUGUGAGUAUGAGUGUGCGGAGGUGCGCGACGAGAUGGGGUAGACCUUCUCUAUCGAUUUU